CCAAUAGCGUAUAUUAAAGUUGUUGCAGUUAAAAAGCUCGUAGUUGAAUUUCGGGGUCAGUAGGUUGGUCGUGCCACGGGUAUGUAUUGGUCUCACUGAUUCCUCCUUCCUGAAGAACCGUAAUGCCAUUAAUUUGGUGUUGCGGGGAAACAGGACUGUUACUUUGAAAAAAUUAGAGUGUUUAAAGCAGGCUAACGCUUGAAUACAUUAGCAUGGAAUAAUGAAAUAGGACGAUCGAUCCUAUUUUGUUGGUUUCUAGGAUUGACGUAAUGAUUAAUAGGGAUAGUUGGGGGCAUUAGUAUUCAAUUGUCAGAGGUGAAAUUCUUGGAUUUAUUGAAGACUAACUACUGCGAAAGCAUUUGCCAAGGAUGUUUUCAUUAAUCAAGAACGAAAGUUAGGGGAUCGAAGACGAUCAGAUACCGUCGUAGUCUUAACCAUAAACUAUGCCGACUAGGGAUCGGAUGAUGUUAAUUUUUUAAUGACUCAUUCGGCGCCUUACG
rnacentral:rRNA from 1 species